AGUUCUCAAAUCUCAGGAGACAUGGCACAGCAGCUCAAGUCCACCAUUGCUAUGAGGCUCCUGGUGCUCUUCCUGGCCUUCUCUUGCCUUCUCUCAUCUCUUGCAGUCCCUUCAACUAGGAGUCUCAUGUCAAGCAGUGGAGAGGAUGAUGAUGAUCAAGUGUCAGUUCCAGACUUGUUAGCUCAGCAGGAUGAAAUAAUGGGAACGAGUGAAGGAAGAGAGAUGGUGUCUGUGGAGAGGAGGAUGGAGCUGGCAAGCAAUGACUAUCCUGGAACAGGAGCCAACAACCACCAUGACCCUAGAACUCCUGGAACAGCCUAAAGUGUCUAUUUCUAUAUUAUAUAUGAAACUACUGUAAAUGCAUAUUCACAUGUAUAAUAUAAUAUAAUCUAAUGAAGAGAAACGGUCAAAGAGAGAGUUGGGAUUUUUCCUUUUCAUGUGUUUUUUUCUUUUCUUUUUCUAUGUUUUUUGAAGUAGAAGCUUCUCUGUAUUGGUGUUGGCAGAUGAGAAUGUCUCGUCAUUUUGCAGAAAGCAGAUGUUGUAGGUAGUGGUCUUGGCUUGAGUUAAUCGAAAAUGGUGGCUACACCGCGCAUGAACCUGUCGCAACGCGGAGUUGACCUUUCA